UACGGAGGGUGCAAGCGUUAAUCGGAAUUACUGGGCGUAAAGCGUACGUAGGCGGCUUGUUAAGCAAGAUGUGAAAUCCCCGGGCUCAACCUGGGAAUGGCAUUUUGAACUGGCAGGCUCGAGUUCUGAAGAGGGUGGUAGAAUUUCCAGUGUAGCGGUGAAAUGCGUAGAUAUUGGAAGGAAUACCGGUGGGGAAGGCGGCCACCUGGUCAGAAAUUGACGCUGAGGUACGAAAGCGUGGGGAGCAAACAGG
rnacentral:rRNA from 1 species